rnacentral:lncRNA from 1 species
GGCAGCACUGCCCAGAACUGAACGUGGCCCUGGUGACAGUCCCCGGAAGUGACCAGGAGGCUGCCUGGGGCGCGUUGGGAGGUGGGGCACCCCGGGGCCCUUAUCUACAGGAAUUCCAGAGGGAGUGGCAUUCUUCAGCUCAGCCCUGCCCUAGGAGGCCCCCGGGCUCUUGGCCAUCAGGUCUAGGGCCUGGUGGGGUCCACUGUGAGCGCGGGCUUCCCUUCCUGCAGGACUGGGCCUGAGGCUCUCCCCACCAGGGGGCUUCAGAGGCCCACAGCCGCCCACCCACGGGCUCCCAGGAAGUCACUUCCACACCCACGCGAUCAGCUGCCGCCAUCUGAUCCCAGAACGCCCCGGCAGGAAGGACUGCAGGUUCCAGCCACCUACAAAGUGCAGAAAUCGCGGCUCGGCCAGGCGCAACCCCUCACUAAGUUGCUGAGGUGGUCACGAACUCCAAUCCUCUUGCCGUGGCCUCAGGUCACUAGGAUCAUAGGCACGCACCACUGCGCCCAGCCAAAUGUCAGUGUCUUGAUAAAAUCUCUGUCCCCAGGGUACUGUCCCUUUCCUUACUGGACUGGCUUAAGGAUCUCCGAGUCAAAAUAAUGACUCCUCGGUUCCCCCACUGCCUCGGGUCCUGCUCCCAGCUUUACAAAAAUCAACUCCGAGUUUUUGAGAGGUGAUUAUCGUUGCCUGAUUGUCACUGGGUCCUGCCAAAAUUCCUGUGUUGAAACCCUCUGUCCCUCAGGUGACGGUGACGGUAUGGGCUUGGGGCCUGCAGAACAGUGAGCGGCGGGUUCCUGCUAUCUAUUAGCCACCAACUCUAUGACACUUUGCCACAGCAGCAAGGGACAGUGACGGAUGUUCACAGGGUAAAAUUCUGAACUCUCCAAAAGCAAACCCACCUUCCAGGCUUCCCUUGUCACCUGUCUGUGCCCCUGUCUGUCUGUCCUUGUCUGUGGCCGGCUCCCACACCCCCAGGUCCUGGUCUCUCACAGGAAUCACCUUGUCACCCACAGGAUCGCUUCAGCAUUCAUCUGUCACACGGAUGACAUUCGACUCACUUUCUUCCUCUUGCUCUUUGUUUUUUACGGGGAAAAACAAAUCUGGAUUGUGCACCGCCGCUCCAGGCCAUGGCUGCUUGUCACAUCCUCAUUCUGAAACCGUUUAAGACCCACAAGAAGUUGUGACCCUCUUGCGUAACCAGGGCGCACCGUCAGAGCCAGGGCGCUGAAACGGCCCGACACGGACCUCCAGUCGAUGUCCCUCGGAGUCCCCCGUCUCCACAGCACAGGGGUCUGGGCUGGCUGUUCUGGGGCGCACAGGUCUAUAGGAGGUUGUCACCCGACCAGCUUUGUGACCCCUGAAUGUAGAGCUGUUCGACUGCCCCCGGAAAGGACUUGGUGUCAACACCCGACCGCAGCCUCGCCCAGCCCUGGUCCCUGGCAACCGGGGAUCAUACAGACGUGGCUCUCCGUCACCCUGAUUCUCAUGUCACCUUGACACGUGUGGAAAUGGAAGCGCACAGGAGGUGACCUUCUGAUGCUGGCAUUUUUUUCCCUCGGCAGGAUUUCCCUGGGGUCAGUUCACACUGUGUUUAUCAACAGCCCUUUUUUUCUUUUUUAGGCACCAGAGACUAAACUCAGGGCCACUGAGCCCCGUCCCCAGCCCUCUGCAUUUUCUAUUUGGAGACAGGGUCUCGCUGAGUGGCUCAGGGCCUCACCAAGUUGCUGAGGCUGGCCUCUAACUUGUGAUCCUCCUGCCUCAGCCUCCUGAGCCGCUGGGACCAUUACUUUUAUUACUGUGCACAAUUCCACUGUAUGGUGGAUGGCAUUUUUCAGUCACUCACCUACGCAGGGACAUGUGGGUAUCUGCAGGUUGAGGCCAUGAUAAAUAAAGCUAUUAGG